GAUAGCCGCAAUGAGAUGAGGAAUAAAUGUUUGUGGUAUCAAAAUCAAAUCAAAUCAAAUUGUAUUUGUCACAUGCGCCGAAUACAACCUUACUGCUUACAAGCCCUUAACCAACAUUGCAGUUCAAUAUGUAGAGCAUCAAACGCUACCGCAACAGCCACAGCCAGUUAGCUACCAGUCUAACAGAACCAGUGACGAAGCAAGCACGGACGAGAGGCAGACGGAAAGAAGCAGAUGGAAAGAAGCAGAUGGUGGGCACGUGUACCACGCUCACUGGGAGUUCGACAGGGUCCAUCGACUACUGGGAAUCUGGUUGGCUAUAGCCCUUACAGUAUGGAACCAGGCCACCAGGGAGCUACAGUCCUGUAGGUAGUCGAUGAGAUCCUCACCUUAUUGCUGUCAUCCCUGGGGGGAGCCCAUCGGCCGCGGUGUGCCCUCCGGACCACCACGCCACUGGAGGAGCUGCCGUAGCCGGCUGGGAGGGAGCCACCACCUUGGGGGUAACGGAGCUCUGAGGCACUCCCUGGAAGAGAUCUUCGAAAAAGGGUGGAGGGAAGUAGAAGAGGCGGCAUACAAAGGUAUGUCAAUUGGUAUUGGUACGUCAUGCAGAUCCCCUUUACCAUCCUCCUCCCUUGCCUCUUCAAUGAAUAUCCCAUCGGCCUUUACAUUAUGGACACGGUGUGGACUUCACCCUCCCUCCACCUCCGAUGAACACAACAUGAAACCUGUUCGAUCAACAUGCACUGCAAAUUCAUUCUGGCUAUGGAUACGGAGAACAUCAACACAUUAGCAUCCACACGCCAGAUGAAAUACCGAUUGGACGUGGGGCUCUGCUGGGAGUUUACCUCAUAUUUCAUAUUUGAAUUCCGCUUUGCCACUAAAAUCAAAAUAAACGCUGAGA